rnacentral:tRNA from 2 species
ACAGCAGUAGCUUAGUCGGUCAGAGCAUCAGCCCACAGAGCUGACGGUCGCGGGUUCGAGCCCCGCCUGCUGUGCCA